UUUGUUUCAUUCAAUAGACUUCUUGGGCCUCAUUACGAGGUGGGGGUAAGGGAUUAACGGCACCGGUAAGGACACCGGUGCCGGUAAUCCCUUACCUCCCUACUACGAGUUCCCUUUGUGGGUCCUUCCUUAACGCCUGGUUUUUGCAGGACUUAAGGACGGGGCCCGCAAAGGGACUCUAGAGCUAAUAACGGUACCGCAAUUUGCGUUACCGUUAUUAGCGCCUUCCCCAUUCCCAUUGAGCCCUAUGGGGGCUCAAAUGGGAAUGGGGAAUGGCCCUGGUAAAUGGGGAAUUACCGGUCCCUCCGACCUCGGAAUGGACCGGUAAUUGCUCCAUUCACCAGGGCAGAGUCGGAAGGGUUUUGGAGCCAGCCAUGGAGCUAAUAGCUCCAUGGCUGCCUCCAACCUCAUAAUGAGGCCCCUUGACACAUAAGGCCCACACAUAGGCUUUAUGUGUAAACUGUCUAUUGAAUGAAACAAAAGCCCCCUGGCAGCAGUUUUACCAUGUCCGCAGGGCUGAGAGGGACUGACUCCUGCUGGGCUCUCCUCUGGCAAAAGUUCUACCCCCUCUCAGGGUUUGCUGGGUUGGGGACGGGGCUGCCUGCUCUGGGUGUGAUUGUCGACUGGGGUGGACUGUCCUUAGUGCACCCAGACCAUGUCGUGCUGCCAGGUGGGGAGGCACACGAAGGGCACCAGGGGCCUGCAGUGAUAUCGGUUAUUGACCCAAUCCGCCUUGAAACACCAAACCAAGGAGUCUAACAUGUGCAUGAGUCGGAUGGUCAAAGGAAACCCUGUAGCGCAAUGAGAGUGUGGGCCGGCACUUUUUCGGCUGAGGUGGAUCCCACAUGGUUUGUGUGGCGGGCACACCACCGGCACCUCUUGACCACUCUGUUCGGAGGUGGAGCAUGAUCGUAUGUGAUAGAACCCUAAAGAUGUGGAAAUAUGCCUGGGCAGGGUAAAGUUUGACGAAACGCUGGUGGAGGUCCAUAGCAGUGCUAAUAUGCAAAUUGGUCAUCCGACCUGGGUAUAGGGGAAGAAGACUAAUUGAAACAUACAGUGGCUGGUUACCUCUGAAGUCUCCCUCACGAUAGCUGGUGCUCGGAAACCCCAUUUUUAUCUGGUAAAAGGAAUGACUAGAGGUCUUGGGCCAAAACAAUCUCAACCUAUUCUGAAAAUUUAAAUCGGUUGAAGCCUGGCUUGCUGAUGCCCAUCAUCAAAUACGACUAGCCAGUGGGCCAAUUUUGGUAAGCAGAACUGCCGCUGUGUGAUGUACCGAACUCUGGGUUAAAGCGCCCGAUGGCGACAUUCAUCUAACCCAGAAAAGGGGUUGGUUGAUUUAGAUAACAGGAUGAUGCCUAAGGAAGCCGGAAUCCCCUAAGGAGUGUGUAAAAACUUACCUGCCGAAUCAACAAACCCUGAAAAUGGAUGUCGCUGGAGUGUCUAGCCCUACUCGUCUGUCGCCGGCACUGAGAGCCAUGGGGGCAAAGCCCCAAUGAGUAGUAGGGCCACUGUGGUGCGCAUGGAAGCCCGGGGCAAAAGCCCAGUUGGAGCCGCUGCAGGUGCAGAAGAUGGUGGUAGUAGCAAAUAUUCAAACAAGAACUUUGAAGGCCAAAGUGAAGAAGGGAUCCAUGUGAAUAGCAGUUGGACAUGGGUCAGUCCUAAGAGAUGGGUGAGUGCCAUUCCGGAGAGGCGGGCAAUUGCCUCCAUUGACCUCAGCCGAUUCAAAGGGAAUUGGGUUCAGAUCCCUGUUCCAGUGGGGUAACACAAAUGAUCCUGCUGAAGCCUGUGUGAGUGCAAAGGGAGACUUCUCUUUUCUUUGUGACGGGCAGGGCACCCUGGAAUGGGUUAGCCCCGUGAGAGGGGACAGGGCCUUGGAAAGCAUCACAGUUCUGGUGGUGUCUGAUGCGCUCUUGCUGGUCCUUGAAAAUCCAGGGUAGAUGAUGUAAAUCUCACUCUGAGCCAUACCCAUAUCCACAGCAGGUCUCCAGGGUUAACAGCCUCUGGCAUAUUGGAAUAAUGUUGGUAAGGGAAGUGGGCAAGUCAGAUCUGUAACUUUGGGAUAAGGACAAGCUCUAAGGGCGGGGUUGGUCAGGCUGGGACUCGAAGCAGGGCUGGGCAUGUGCCGUGGCUGGAUGAGGCAUCGCUAACUCUGCACACAAGCCAGGCCCUUCCUAUGGAUAACCCCAGCUGCGGUGGUUGCCUCUCUUUGUUCCCUUCCCAGGGUUUGGGCUAGCAUCUGGCACCUAGCAGCUGACUUAGACCUUCUGCAGAACAGGGGUUCUGACUGUUUAAUUAAAACAAAGCAUCGGGAAGGCCUGUGGCUGGUGUUGAACCAAUGUGAUUUCUGCCCAGUGCUCUGAAUGUCAAAGUGGAGAAAUUCAAUGAAGCAUGGGUAAACGGCAGGUGUAACUAUGACUCUCUUAAUGUAGCCAAUUGGCUCAUCAUCUAAUUAGUGACAUACAUUAAUUAAUAAAGGAGAUUACCACUGUCCCUACCUACUAUCUAGCCAAACCACAGCCAAGGCAAUGGGCUUGACAGAAGCAACGGGGAAAGAAGACCAUGCUGUGAUUGACUGCAGUAUUGCACUGUGAAGAGAUAUGAGAGGUGUAGGAUAAGUGGUUGACCCUUGGGCUGCCGCAAAAUACCCCAAUUCGUAUAAUUUGUUCACUUACCUGGUGAGGCAGGGGGGCAACCCCCAUGGGGCUCUGACAUCUGGCUUCAAGCACCCUACGCCCAGCAGGCACGACCCGCUCUGGAGAUAGUGGCAGGUGGGGAGUUUGACUGUGGCGGUACACUUGUCAAACAAUAGUGCGGUUGUUCUAAUCUGAGCUCAGGGAGGACAGAAACCUCCCAUGGAGUAGAUGGCCACAAGCUUGCUUGAUCUCGAUUUUCAGUGAGAUACCAGAGCCUCAUGAUGCUUCUGUCUUUUUGGACUUCAAGCAGGAGGUGUCAUAAAAGUUACCACAGGGAUAACUGUAUUAUGGUGACCAAGUGUUUGUUUGUUUGUUUGUUUAUUAUUUAUAAAGCCCCCCCCCCGGACCCAGAGGUAACUG
rnacentral:rRNA from 1 species